CGCAAGAGAGUGGCGCACGGGUGAGUAACACGUAGUUGACCUACCGUCGAGUGCCGGAUAACGGCCCGAAAGGGACGCUAAUACGGCGUAAGCUCCCGGUCUUUAGAGGGCUGAGAGAAAAGAUUAAUCGCUCGACGAGGGGACUGCGGCCCAUCAGGUAGUUGGGGAGGUAACGGCUUCCCAAGCCAACGACGGGUAGGGGGUCUGAGAGGAUGAUCCCCCACACUGGGACUGAGACACGGCCCAGACUCCUACGGGAGGCAGCAGUGAGGGAUAUUGGUCAAUGGGGGCAACCCUGAACCAGCGACGCCGCGUGGGUGAUGAAGGUCUUCGGAUCGUAAAACCCUUUUCUAGGUGACGAGACCAGGACGGUAGCCUAGGAAUAAGUCUCGGCUAACUACGUGCCAGCAGCCGCGGUAAAACGUAGGAGGCAAGCGUUAUCCGGAGUUACUGGGCGUAAAGCGUAUGUAGGCGGUUGGGCAAGUGGCGUGUGAAAGCUCCCGGCUAAACUGGGAGACGACAGGUCAGACUGCCGAACUCGAGUCCGAUAGAGGAGCGUAGAAUUCCGGGUGUAGCGGUGAAAUGUGUAGAGAUCCGGAGGAAUACCAGUGGCGCAAGCGGCGCUCUGGGUCGGGACUGACGCUGAGAUACGAAAGCGUGGGGAGCGAACGGGAUUAGAGACCCCGGUAGUCCACGCCGUAAACGAUGCGAACUGGGUGUUCACUCACCGACAGGUGAGGGAGUGCCGAAGCUAACGCGCUAAGUUCGCCGCCUGGGGAGUACGGUCGCAAGACUAAAACUC
rnacentral:rRNA from 1 species